rnacentral:lncRNA from 1 species
AAAAAAUGUACACCGUGAAAAAGUCGUGAUAAUGCAUUAUGUGCCCAUUGUGAAGAUACCGUAAAAUGUAGUACAGUAUGUCUUUUUUGUCCUGAAAAGGUCGUGAAGAUAUGUACCAACUGAAAAUUUGGGUAAAGAGACCGUAGAAACCCUGUGAAAAACAAAAAUGUACACCGUGAAAAAUUCGCGAUAAAUUAUGUGCCCAUUGUGAAAAGAC